UACGUAGGGGGGCAAGCGUUUGUCCGGAAUUAUUGGGCGUAAAGAGCGCGUAGGCGGUCCGAUAAGUCGGCUGUGAAAGUCAGGGGCUCAACCCUUGAAAGCCGGCCGAUACUGUCGGACUAGAGUCCGGAAGAGGCAAGUGGAAUUCCCGGUGUAGCGGUGAAAUGCGCAGAUAUCAGGAGGAACACCGAUGGCGAAGGCAGGUCUCUGGGCCGAUACUGACGCUGAGGAGCGAAAGCAUGGGGAGCGAACAGG
rnacentral:rRNA from 1 species